rnacentral:rRNA from 1 species
UACGGAGGGGGCUAGCGUUGUUCGGAAUUACUGGGCGUAAAGCGCACGUAGGCGGAUCGGACAGUCGGGGGUGAAAUCCCGGGGCUCAACCCCGGAACGGCCUCCGAAACUCCCGGUCUGGAGGUCGAGAGAGGCGAGUGGAAUUCCGAGUGUAGAGGUGAAAUUCGUAGAUAUUCGGAGGAACACCAGUGGCGAAGGCGGCUCGCUGGCUCGAUACUGACGCUGAGGUGCGAAAGCGUGGGGAGCAAACAGGAUUAGAUACCCGCGUAGUCC